GAGUUUGAUCGUGGCUCAGAUUGAACGCUGGCGGCAUGCCUUACACAUGCAAGUCGAACGGCAGCAUGAUCUAGCUUGCUAGAUUGAUGGCGAGUGGCGAACGGGUGAGUAAUACAUCGGAACGUGCCCUGUAGUGGGGGAUAACUAGUCGAAAGAUUAGCUAAUACCGCAUACGACCUGAGGGUGAAAGUGGGGGACCGCAAGGCCUCAUGCUAUAGGAGCGGCCGAUGUCUGAUUAGCUAGUUGGUGGGUAAAGGCCCACCAAGGCGACGAUCAGUAGCUGGUCUGAGAGGACGAUCAGUCACACUGGGACUGAGACACGGCCCAGACUCCUACGGGAGGCAGCAGUGGGGAAUUUUGGACAAUGGGCGAAAGCCUGAUCCAGCAAUGCCGCGUGUGUGAAGAAGGCC
rnacentral:rRNA from 1 species